AGUUGGGGAUGAAGAACAUCGAGCAUUUGACUUAAGGUGGUGUGUUGGAUGUUAUAUAAGUCAAAUGCAAUGUAACUAUGAUCAGAAGCAUGUUUGGAGAAUAUCUUAUUUGAGAAGCUAUUUGGAAAAGCUGCCAGAAUGCUGCAGGAAAACCAGAAAAAUACUUUUGUUUUUAGGCUGUUUUUGUUUAGCUUUUGUUUGUUACUUUGUUUAGUGUUAGUAGGCACUAUAUAUA
rnacentral:lncRNA from 1 species